GAACACUCUCUUUGGAUAAAACUGUUACAAGGUCCGUCUACGGGGUUAUCGAUUCGAGUAAAUGUUCCCUUGAACUUAACGCGACGCGUAGAUCCACGAGCAGUUUGUCGAAUGAGAAAUUUUACGUUCCGAGUCAAUUGAAUUAUUUUCACUCAAGAGUGGAGAUUCCUGGUUUGUUUGUUGUCUUCACAUACGUACGAACGAUGAAGCCAUCGAAUUUCUUGAAACGUCAAACCAGUUUUCCACCAGCUCAACCAACGUUUUUUUUUAAUUUCGCCUCACGUUAUCUUGUGAAAUAAUGAAUAAUUAGCUCAUCUUCCAAAUAUCGAAGUUCGUACAACAACAAAGGUUUGAUUAGAAGAAGAAUAGCCGAAAUCACACGAUGAAAAUUUAUCAGCCCCUUCGGAGCAGUACGCUAUCUGUACUGUCACCGGCUAUUUUUUUUCAUCAUAGCUCGCGUGUGACGGCCGGAUCAAGAUAUUAUAGCGUCCUGACGUUCCAUUCAAACGAUCAGUUCGACAGUGACCGUGGCCGAGUAACAACAAGAUUCGAUGGUCCAAGAAUAGACAAAAAAACAUCAGAGCGAACCAAUUUCUUCUCGCGCGAUAAGAACUGGACACACACGAUAUAUUUUUUGGCUCGGAUUGAACUUAUUGGCUUAUUUUUCGAUUCUUCCUGCAAAUCCGAAGCGAUAUAAACAAAGCCGCAGUAUCGUCAUCGGAACUUCUCGCCUCCGUUCGUGCUCUUCAUUUUUUAUCCUUUCCGUCGCGAAUAUAAGAACAGUGCCAAUAUUUUAUACACUCGUGGGACACCAUAUAUUUUUCGAUAGCAUCACUCGGAUAUAAUUCGCCGGGAUGAUUGGUUUAACGUUGGUUUUCUCGACGAUACUCCUUUGGGGGCUGGAGGUCGAAUCGAGCGUACUCGUCGCCGACAUGACGAUGUCGAGGAUGGUCGAGCUCAACGCGGGUGCUCCGUUCUGUGCUCUUUAUCACGAUCGUGGAAUAAUUCAGCAGAUGAUCCUCGGCGCGGAUCCGAAAAAAGUUCGACAGAUGUCGAGCAAUCUCAUCGACGAUCUCGAGGAGACCUGCAAAGAGUCGAGAAACAAGGGAAAAAAUCAACCGCCGGGAGGAGGAUUGAUUUAUCCAGGAACAAAGUGGUGCGGCCCAGGAAAUAUCGCCGCUUCGUACGACGAUUUGGGUCAUCACGCGAACGAGGAUGCCUGCUGUCGGGAGCACGACCAUUGUCCCGUCGUCAUACUACCGCGAUCGUGUAUUCAUGGAAUUUGCAAUACUUCUCCGUUCACUCGUUCUCACUGUGAUUGCGAUGCCAAAUUUCGACGUUGCCUUCAAAAUUUGAACACCGAGGUUGCCAACACCCUGGGGGCGCUUUUCUUCAACGUCGUACAGGUCACCUGUUUCAAGGAGCGACGUCCGUGCUCCCAAUGGCAGAGCAGCUCGUGCGCUAAUUUUAGCAACGAAAUACAAUGGAAACGUUCACCGAGGUACUAUCCGGCGGACAGCGAACGUAGUUGGACGAUUGGAAGAAGGAACUCGCUGUUGAACACACUUUUUAGCGUCGUUGCGGAUGGCGUGAGAGCUCGGAGACGAACACUUGAAAAUGUUGAGGAAGAAUCGUGAUGAUGGCUUUUUCACUCCACUUUCACGAGCAUUUCUUGAAAUUCAUUCACACACACACACACACAUACACGCAGAACGGCUACGGAGAGGCAGAAUCGAAUCGUCUUUGCUCUCAGUACAAAUUCCGUCCGAGUGACAAGUACGUGCCGUUAAUGCCGCUCAAUAUGAACAUAUGAAUUCGAAAGCAACAGAAAUCGGAGCCCGGGAAUCGCUGAUUUUGUUCAGUGGAAGCUCCUGUACGAGGUAGCGAUGCGUCUAGAAAACAAAAUUGCUUCUUCGAGCCUCCGUUUCGAAAGCGAUUGGCAUUGAUUUCGCAGUAACAAUCAUUUUCUUCUUAUAAAUUUCAGUAACGAAUAUUCAUUUGAAAAAAAGUCGUAUUUAUGAUAGUUUCUCGAUAACAGAAGAUCCAACAUUGAAAAUCCUCCUCGUACAUACGAAAUUCAAAAUUCAUUUUUUCCGCAUGUGGGAUUCCGCGUCAUAAAAUGCGUAUACCAAGUUUUAUCGAUAACCACAGCAUUUGAAUUCACGCGUCAGUAACGAGUGAUGACGAUGCGGAAAUGAAAUUCGAUCUAUAGUGAUCCCUGGAUUUUGAAAUAGUGAUCGAAAAACAUAUCAAGGUUCACGGACAAUUGAACAUUUUCAACGACCGACCGAAUUUUAAUGCAAAAAAACCUGUGGCCUUCUUCAUGUCUUUUUUCGAUAAAAAUGAUGUAUUAUUACGAAACUCAUAUACCUCCUUAAAGCGUAGCGACAAGAGUGACCAAGUGCUUUAUGUUAAUUCUUCAACGUGAAUCGAGUGUCAUUGAGAGAAUGGACUCUAGAGACAAAAACACUUGAGUGAUGUAUGCCGAAGUUAUUGAAAUCGUGCGUCGAUUCUUGUGCAGGUUUUCGUCUUUCCCUCUUUGUCUAACGACAUCUCUAUUUUUCAUAGAGAAAUUGGCGUUAUUUGUAACCGAAUUUUGUCGUUUGAAUAAUGAGAGCAGAGCGCACGAUUAAUCAGUCGGCGGUCGGGGGAUAGAAGAUUUUCUCGCGAGUAUAGAUUCGGCUGCCGGCUCUGUUAAAAAAAGAGAAAAUUGAAAAUAAUUCCAUCAUUGAAAUAAAUUUGGUAGAGAUAGCAAGAAUUUCACAUGUUCGUGCCAUCAUCAUAAAAGUUGGAAAAAAGUAACAAAGCACGAACCCCCGUUCGCUGACGGGUUGAAAAAUUCUAACUGUUUUUUUUUUAUCAAACUGCACUUGUUGGGGGAACGUUCGUUUCACGGGUAUAAAAAAGAAAAAAAAUACAGAGCCGAUAGCCCGACACAUUUUCUUUUUGCAGUAUUCAAUCAAAGCAAUGUCCGAUUGUGAGUAAAAGGUCGAAAGCCGAAAGUAUCGUGGUAGAUUCUGUUGACAGAGUUAGAAAAUAAGACAUGUGAUAUACUGUUUCAUAAUCAUUGUAUCGGCUGGAUAUUAUAGAUUAUAAUAAUAAAGAAAGGUUUUCGUCAGCAAGUAAUCGAAGCAAAGAAUUACGUUUGAAGAUUAUUGAACACAGCGAUUUCAAGAAAAUAUCAUUGUUAGCUGAAUAUUAGGGCAAACAAUAAUUCAACACGAGGCGAAUGAGAAACAAAUGUAUCGACAGAGUUUUUACUUCUGAAAACAAUCGUUGCAGUGUUAAAAAUUCUUGGUGAAUUAAACGUUUGGCACGAUUCUACAUACGAAAAAUUCCUAAUGUAUUAUGACGAUCCUAUUGGAACAUACGUUUGGAGUUUUCUUUUUUCUUUAAAAAAUUUUCCACAAAUUUGAUCACGCACGUACACUGUGAGACGCAUCAACUACAAGAUUAGCAUUAUAUUAGUUUUAUAAUAUGUUUUUUUCGUUGACACAGGAUGAAAAAAUUAUAAAGAAGUACUGACGAAUGAAUUCCUCCUGUUUAGUAUCAUUCGUUGCCCUCAUCAACAUUCACAGUAAUAUAGCAAUGAAAUUUCAGGAUGUACUAGCGAGUCAACAAAUAUUUCGUUCGUUUAAGAUGUUACGGGUUAAGGUACGAGCGGACCAUUGCAUGUUGAUCGUUGAACAAUGAAUAAUAUAAUUCUUUGCUGUUUCAUUCGUUAAAUAUUGAAUAAUAAAUGGCUUAUAUAACAAGAA